rnacentral:rRNA from 1 species
UACGAAGGGGGCUAGCGUUGCUCGGAAUCACUGGGCGUAAAGGGCGCGUAGGCGGCGUUUUAAGUCGGGGGUGAAAGCCUGUGGCUCAACCACAGAAUGGCCUUCGAUACUGGGACGCUUGAGUAUGGUAGAGGUUGGUGGAGCUGCGAGUGUAGAGGUGAAAUUCGUAGAUAUUCGCAAGAACACCGGUGGCGAAGGCGGCCAACUGGACCAUCACUGACGCUGAGGCGCGAAAGCGUGGGGAGCAAACAGG